CCUACGGGGGGCAGCAGUGAGGAAUAUUGGUCAAUGGAUGAGAGUCUGAACCAGCCAAGUAGCGUGAAGGAUGACUGCCCUAUGGGUUGUAAACUUCUUUUAUAUGGGAAUAAAAUGUUCCACGUGUGGGAUUUUGUAUGUACCAUAUGAAUAAGGAUCGGCUAACUCCGUGCCAGCAGCCGCGGUAAUACGGAGGAUCCGAGCGUUAUCCGGAUUUAUUGGGUUUAAAGGGAGCGUAGGUGGAUUGUUAAGUCAGUUGUGAAAGUUUGCGGCUCAACCGUAAAAUUGCAGUUGAAACUGGCAGUCUUGAGUACAGUAGAGGUGGGCGGAAUUCGUGGUGUAGCGGUGAAAUGCUUAGAUAUCACGAAGAACUCCGAUUGCGAAGGCAGUUCACUGGACUGCAACUGACACUGAGGCUCGAAAGUGUGGGUAUCAAACAGGAUUAGAUACCCUAGUAGUC
rnacentral:rRNA from 1 species